rfam:Lactobacillus rossiae DSM 15814 Scaffold1, whole genome shotgun sequence.
UGAACCUUUAAUGUAGUCCUGUGAGGCUAACAAGGGAACGGCUGUUGUGACGUUUAGAAUAGCGCGAUUUGUGCAAUUCUAGUACAUCUUCACACGUAAACCAGACCACUUGCCUUCCGGGUGAGUGGUCUUUUUUAU